AUUGAACGCUGGCGGCAUGCCUAACACAUGCAAGUCGAGCGGAGCGGCGGACGGGUGAGUAAUGCCUAGGAAUCUGCCUGUUAGUGGGGGAUAACGUCCGGAACCGGGAGCUAAUACCGAUUACUAUCAGAUGAGCCUAGGUCGGAUUAGCUAGUUGGUGGGGUAAAGGCCUACCAAGGCGACGAUCCGUAACUGGUCUGAGAGGAGGAUCAGUCACCCUGGAACUGAGACACGGUCCAGACUCCUACGGGAGGCAGCAGUGGGGAAUAUUGGACAAUGGGCGAAAGCCUGAUCCAGCCAUGCCGCGUGUGUGAAGAAGGUCUUCGGAUUGUAAAGCACUUUAAGUUGGGAGGCGUUACCAACAGAAUAAGCACCGGCUAACUUCGUGCCAGCAGCCGCGGUAAUAC
rnacentral:rRNA from 1 species